rnacentral:rRNA from 2 species
CCAAUAGGCUUGCCUAUUGGGGUUGUAGGACACUCAAUACGGAGUUACAAAGGAAAUAAUUAGACGAAUGGUUUUGGAAAAGCCAACCAUAGAAGGUAAAGGUCCUGUAGUCGAAAGUUAUUUCUCUCCUGAGUGGAUCCUGAGUACGGCGGAACACGUGUAAUUCCGUCGGAAUCUGGGAGGACCAUCUCCCAAGGCUAAAUACUCUCUAGUGACCGAUAGUGAACCAGUACCGUGAGGGAAAGGUGAAAAGCACCCCGGAAGGGGAGUGAAAUAGAACCUGAAACCGUGUGCUUACAAAUAGUCAGAGCCCGUUAAUGGGUGAUGGCGUGCCUUUUGUAGAAUGAACCGGCGAGUUACGAUUUGAUGCAAGGUUAAGCAGUAAAUGUGGAGCCGUAGCGAAAGCGAGUCUGAAUAGGGCGAAUGAGUAUCUGGUCGUAGACCCGAAACCAAGUGAUCUACCCAUGUCCAGGUUGAAGUUCAGGUAACACUGAAUGGAGGACCGAACCGACUUACGUUGAAAAGUGAGCGGAUGAGGUGUGGGUAGCGGAGAAAUUCCAAUCGAACUUGGAGAUAGCUGGUUCUCUCCGAAAUAGCUUUAGGGCUAGCCUCAAGUGAUGAUUAUUGGAGGUAGAGCACUGUUUGGACGAGGGGCCCCUCUAGGG